AACGAACGCUGGCGGCGUGCCUAACACAUGCAAGUCGAACGAGAAAGGGGCUUCGGCUCCGCGUAGAGUGGCGCACGGGUGGGUAACACGUGGGUAACCUGCCUCACCGAUUGGGAUAACUCGUCGACAGAUGAGCUAAUACCGAAUCAGACCACAUAUCGCGCGGGAACGGGGGUCAGAGGUAGCCUCUGCUUGCAAGCUAUCACUUAGAGAUGGGCCUGCGCACCAUUAGCGAGUUGGUAGGGUAACAGCCUACCAAGGCCAAGAUGGUUAGCUGGUCUGCGAGGCGGCUCAGCCCCACUGGAACGGAGACACGGUCCAGACUCCUACGGGAGGCAGCCGUGGGGGAUAUUUCGGAAUGGGCGCAAGCUUGACGCAGCAACGCCGCGUGAGUGAUGGAGGCCGUCGGGUCGUAAAGCUCCUGCUGGAGGUACGAAUGCACCUUAGGUUAACAGCCUCGGGAGGUGACGGUACCUUCAAAGGAAGCACCGGCUAACUCUGUG
rnacentral:rRNA from 1 species